CUUUUUUUCUUAGAAUUCCAGGUUUACAUCUCACAAUUCAGACUUUUUUUUUCCCCUCAGAAUUCUGGGUUUACAUCUCACAAUUCAGACUUUUUUUUCCCCUCAGAAUUCUGGGUUUACAUCUCACAAUUCAGACUUUUUUUCCCCUCAGAAUUCUGGGUUUACAUCUCACAAUUCAGACUUUUUUUUCCCCUCAGAAUUCUGGGUUUACAUCUCACAAUUCUGACUUUUUUUUUCUUCUCAGAAUUC